ACCUUGAGGCUUCUUUGUAAGGAACAAAACACAUCUAUCUUGUUUGAAACACUGAUUUGUGCUUUCUGUUUCUCAUGACCAGACUGAAUUGUAAAACAUUUUUGGACAGUUUCAUACACGGAGAUGAUGAAGGUUGGAGGAGAGGAUCAGGAAAGAGCUGUUUGUACGAACGAUCUCCUAGUGGACCUCCGGAAGAAGAAAAGGAAGAGUGAGAUAAAGAGUGAAGGUCGGACAGCAGCAGCAGAACAGAGAAAAGAACACGCAAAGGCAGGAGAGCGCUGGACGAAGCCAGAUAUCUAAAAGGCAACGGGACCAGGAACCAGUACAGAUGAGGCUGAAUAACGAGGUAGCAGCCAGUUUGUGGAGUGACUCAGGGGCCAGGGCAAGGGAUUUGGUCUUUCUUUCAAGAGCACUGAGAAAACAUCAAACAUAAUCUAAAAUAAGCCAACCUCUGGUUUAAAGAGAUAACUGGAUCAGCUGUGUGGAAAACAAUCAGAGUCCUUACGACUCAGGGAGCCUGGGGUGGGAAUUCCUUAUAGAAUGCAUAUGGAUUCAUAUAUGUUUUUAUAUUUUAUAUCCAAGUCUCUACUCCACCUGGGAUCUUGCUCACAGCAACAGCUAAGGCUUAUCCUUGAGUAGAUAUGGAUAGCUAUUUGCUCCAACGCCGUUGAUUGAAAAUGUCCUUUGCCUGUUGCUUUUCUAUCACACAUUUGGCAUAAACUCAUUUCUACAGUAGUUACGGUUGUACAUUUUAGGUUAUUGUAAUGUUCUGGUCUGUCUUUCUCUUCUUGCGC
rnacentral:lncRNA from 1 species